AACAAUCCAUCUUAUCCACACACCAUCUCGGGGGCACCUAAGUUAAUAAAGAGAAAUUUGAGUGCGUAAGAACCAAAUCAAGGAAACUAACUACAAAGCCUUAAUAAUAUGUAAUUACCUUCAUGUAAUGCUCCUUCUCCAUCUUAGCAUCACGGCGUCCAUAGACUUGUCUCAACUCGGUGUCCAUAGACUCUGCAUCAGCCUACAAGUUUAAUACGAAAGAAUGGAUG
rnacentral:lncRNA from 1 species